GAUGAACGCUGGCGGCGUGCCUAACACAUGCAAGUCGAACGGGACUGUUUGGAGAUCUUUUCGGAGUGAUUCUUACAGUUUAGUGGCGGACGGGUGAGUAACGCGUGGACAACCUGCCUCUCACAGGGGGAUAGCAGCUGGAAACGGCUGGUAAUACCGCAUACGCUCAGAGCACCGCAUGAUGCUCUGAGGAAAGAUUUAUCGGUGAGAGAUGGAUCCGCGUCUGAUUAGCCAGUUGGCGGGGUAACGGCCCACCAAAGCGACGAUCAGUAGCCGGCCUGAGAGGGCGGACGGCCACAUUGGGACUGAGACACGGCCCAGACUCCUACGGGAGGCAGCAGUGGGGGAUAUUGCACAAUGGGCGCAAGCCUGAUGCAGCGACGCCGCGUGAGUGAAGAAGUAUUUCGGUAUGUAAAGCUCUAUCAGCAGGGAAGAAAGGCCCUUUAAGGGAGAUGACGGUACCUGACUAAGAAGCCCCGG
rnacentral:rRNA from 1 species